rnacentral:lncRNA from 1 species
GCCGCGGGUGUCUGAGAAUGCAAAGUGCCAUGUUCCUGGCUGUCCAGCACGACUGCGUACCCAUGGACAAGAGCGCAGGCAACGGCCCCAAGGUCGAGGAGAAGCGGGAGAAAAUGAAGCGGACACUCUUAAAAGAUUGGAAGACCCGUUUGAGCUAUUUCUUGCAAAACUCCUCUACUCCUGGGAAGCCCAAAACUGGCAAGAAAAGCAAACAGCAAACUUUUAUCAAGUGAGUUUCAAAUCCUGUAGUUACAGAGAUGAGUAUCUGGUCAAACCAGUGGACAGGAAAGGGGAGCUGUCAUGUGUGGUGAAGCUCAUGUGUGGAACUUCUCUUGCAGGCCUUCUCCUGAGGAAGCGCUGCUCUGGGCAGAAGCAUUUGAUGAACUGCUGGCCAGCAAAUAUGGGCUUGCUGCAUUCAGAGCGUUUUUAAAGUCCGAGUUCUGUGAAGAAAAUAUUGAAUUCUGGUUGGCUUGCGAAGACUUCAAGAAAACCAAAUCACCACAGAAACUGUCCUCAAAAGCAAGGAAAAUAUACACCGACUUCAUCGAGAAGGAAGCUCCCAAAGAGAUAAACAUAGACUUUCAAACAAAAACUCUGAUUGCCCAAAAUAUCCAAGAGGCUACAAGUGGCUGCUUCACCACAGCGCAGAAGAGGGUGUACAGCCUGAUGGAGAACAACUCUUAUCCUCGUUUCUUGGAAUCAGAAUU